GACGAACGCUGGCGGCGUGCCUAAUACAUGCAAGUAGAACGCUGAAGAGAGGAGCUUGCUCUUCUUGGAUGAGUUGCGCACGGGUGAGUAACGCGUAGGUAACCUGCCUUGUAGCGGGGGAUAACUAUUGGAAACGAUAGCUAAUACCGCAUAACAAUGGAUGACCCAUGUCAUUUAUUUGAAAGGGGCAAAUGCUCCACUACAAGAUGGACCUGCGUUGUAUUAGCUAGUAGGUGAGGUAACGGCUCACCUAGGCGACGAUACAUAGCCGACCUGAGAGGGUGAUCGGCCACACUGGGACUGAGACACGGCCCAGACUCCUACGGGAGGCAGCAGUAGGGAAUCUUCGGCAAUGGGGGCAACCCUGACCGAGCAACGCCGCGUGAGUGAAGAAGGUUUUCGGAUCGUAAAGCUCUGUUGUAAGUCAAGAACGAGUGUGAGAGUGGAAAGUUCACACUGUGACGGUAGCUUACCAGAAAGAGACGGCUAACUUCGUG
rnacentral:rRNA from 1 species